CAGUGCUGGAGAGGAGGAAAUGGG
rnacentral:piRNA from 1 species